rnacentral:rRNA from 1 species
GACGAACGCUGGCGGCGUGCCUAAUACAUGCAAGUCGGGCGGGGUUUUGAGGGGCUUGCCCUUCAAAACCCAGCGGCGAACGGGUGAGUAACACGUGGGCAACCUGCCCGCAAGACCGGGAUAACUCCGGGAAACCGGAGCUAAUACCGGAUAGGACCCCGGAUCGCAUGAUCCGGGGUGGAAAGGCGGCCUCGGCUGCCACUUGCGGAUGGGCCCGCGGCGCAUUAGCUAGUUGGUGAGGUAACGGCUCACCAAGGUGACGAUGCGUAGCCGACCUGAGAGGGUGACCGGCCACACUGGGACUGAGACACGGCCCAGACUCCUACGGGAGGCAGCAGUAGGGAAUUUUCCGCAAUGGGCGCAAGCCUGACGGAGCAACGCCGCGUGAGCGAGGACGGCCUUCGGGUUGUAAAGCUCUGUUCUUCGGGAAGAACGGCGGGAGGGCGAACAACUCUCUCGCAUGACGGUACCGAAGGAGAAAGCCCCGGCUAACUAC